rnacentral:snRNA from 1 species
AUGAUGGAAAUCACACAUUCUAA